CGAGUGCAAUCUCCAUUUAUACAGUUUUACAAGAUUUCUGUUAUAACACAAACAAAAUCAGAGAAAUGAACAACUAUAGGUCAACGUACAUGUACGGCCUUCAACAAUAAAAAAAAGUUUAUAUCGCAUUGUCAGCUAUAAAAUGGUUUGGUUUUAUUUCUCGUAAGCAAAUUUCAUAUAAUUUUAUUGAGGUUGCCCUUGAAUAUUUGAUAGUAAUUUUUACACACUGGAAUCGGUGUCAUAAAUCAACAUGUUUCAAAAUAACAGUUAUAUACAUGUAUAUAUAUAAAUAUAAAAUGAUUAAUACAUGUAGUUCUACAUUAAUUAUUUCAUUUUUUAAAAUUGCAUCUAAUCCACAAAUGUAAAGUCGAUGUAUAAAUUGUUGAGUUCAUUUUGUGCUUGUAGUUAACAGCAAAUUUCAAUUAUUUGAAAAGUAAAUGUUGCAUGUUCUUCAAUGAUAACAAUGCUUCCUUCUUUUAUCCAUAAGCAUGCGAAUCGACAAAAGCUGUUAUAUAAUAUAAAAAAGAUUAACACACAAGCUUUCGUUUUAAUAGCCUAGUUUCGAUCAAAUUCUUUUAUACUUUUUAAUGAGUAACACCUGAAUCCGACUCUAUUGAUUUGGUUCCUCUACCAUUUGUUUCAUCGUCAACUUUCGUUUGGCGCAAUCUGUUAAACACGAUUUUCAUUUCGCGCCUAAAUUUCGUGUCCAAAAAUCCAUAUAUGAAAGGAUUGACAGCGUUAUUCAACAAAAUGGAGAAAACAAAUGUAUAAUAGGCAAAUCCUUCUGAAAAUGUCAUUUUACAGUUAAAGUCUUUCUGAAUCCGAGUUGUAACAACCAUGCUGUAAUGUGGAAUAGCACUCAACAGGAACGCUGCAGACACAGCUAAAAGUGUGACCGUUGUUUUCUUGGUUUUUACGUUGACGCCGGUUUUUCCAUGUCUAUGUAGAAACCUCAAAAUCUGUGCGUAGACGCCAAACAAAACCGGAACAACCAAGAAAUUUAGGACGUACAGAAAAAUAUAAUAAACACUUGGGUAAACAGUGUUUUUGUAGGCGUCAUCUGUCCAGCAUCGAAUUCCUUUGACCCCAGGAAUCGCCGUAUCGACGGUGUAAAUCCCGUAUAAGACCAAGCAUGGCCAUGACGUCAAAAGUCCUAAAAUGGUUGCAAUAAUACAACACACUUUCGUAUUUUGGUAGGAAAGCUGCCAUUUCAAAGGCCUGCAUACUUUUCUGUAUCUAUCAAACGCUAUCACCAUUAAAAUAAAGGCGGAACAAUUCGUUGUUAAGACAUUUAUGAAUCGACCAAAUUUACACAACCCAUAUGACGGAAAGAUUAAGUAAUGACUCAUGUAGUAAAUGAGGAAAGGCAUUCCAAUACAUGAGUUUGCAAUGUCCAUGACGGCCAGCCAUAUUGUGUAAGUCCUAUAAUUCGAUACUUUGAAUCUAUGAACAUAAAUCCAAAGAACAACAAAGUUACCGAAGACACCAAUUAUCAUUAAAAUUGCUGUAAAAACUAUUCCUCCUAUAUGCCGCUCUGUGAACUGGUUGUUCAAGUCUGUAAGCGUUGUAGAGUUAUCGACUUCAAGCCAUGUAAAACACUGUUUUCCAGUUUUGUUCAUAAUGGCUAUUUCUGUGGAGGCAAUUCAAGAAGAAUUCUUCUCGUUAUAAAACUUAUACUUAAAUUUACGUUGUAAAUAUUUAUGAUUUUAAUACUUCCCUCUUCCGUAUGCG
rnacentral:lncRNA from 1 species